AUCAUUAACGAGUUAGGGUCCCUCGCGGCCCGACCUCCCAACCCUUUGUCUACCUGACCACUGUUGCUUCGGCGAGCCCGUCUGUAAUGGACCGCCGGGGGGUACCUUGAUCGGCCCUCUGGUCCGCGCUCGUCGAUAGCCAAACUUUUAAAAUCUUAACCAAACGUGUCUCAAUCUAAGUAUUAUUUGUUAAAUAAAAGCAAAACUUUCAACAACGGAUCUCUUGGUUCUGGCAUCGAUGAAGAACGCAGCGAAAUGCGAUAAGUAAUGCGAAUUGCAGAAUUUCAGUGAGUCAUCGAAUCUUUGAACGCACAUUGCGCCCUUUGGUAUUCCGAAGGGCAUGCCUGUUCGAGCGUCAUUAUCACCCCUCAAGCCCCCGGCUUGGUGUUGGACGGUUUGGUGGAGGCCCCCUCGCGGGGCCACCGCCCCUCCCAAAGACAAUGACGGCGGCCUCGUUGGACCCCCGGUACACUGAGUUCUUCACGGGACACGUAUCGGACACAUGUUUUUACGGGACACGGUCUGCCUCCCCUCAGGGAGAAUCUUUCUAAGGUUGACCUCGG
rnacentral:rRNA from 1 species